rnacentral:rRNA from 1 species
UAAAGUGGCGCACGGGUGAGUAACACGUGACUAACCUACCCUUGAGUGGGGGAUAACCUCGGGAAACCGUGGCUAAUACCGCAUAAUAUCGAGAGAUCAAAGGAGCAAUUCGCUUAAGGAGGGGGUCGCGGCUGAUUAGCUAGUUGGUGAGGUAAUGGCUCACCAAGGCGAUGAUCAGUAUCCGGCCUGAGAGGGCGCACGGACACACUGGAACUGAAACACGGUCCAG